GUGGUUCGGGACCGCUCGGCUCCGCGGGGUUCGGAGCGCGGGGGGCGGCCGCUCCGCGCUGCCCCGGGGCUGCGGCCGCCGGCGGCGGGGGGCGGUGACGUCACAGAGCCGCUCGCCAGCACAACGUUCCAUUGAGCCGAGCGCGUGCUCGGGCGAGCACAUGGGCAGCGGGGCCCGCGCUGCUCCGCGCCGCUCCGCCCGGCCCCGCGGCCGGCCCGCCGGACCCCUGCCCGGGAAGGGGGGUCGCGGGUAUUCCCUGCAUUGCCUCAGGUAGCAGAAAAACUGCUGACGGCUUUGUGCCCAAGACCAUAGGAGCUUUCUGCAAAGAAAUGAAGCUCUGCUCUUUGAGGGUCCGGUUUCACAUGGACUGGGCAACCCCAGGAGAUAAGGACAAACCUCAUGAUAUUCUGCUCCAUGUGCAAGGUCCCGGCCCUGCACUCCCACCGGUGUGGAGUCAUGUUUGGAGGAGCCUGGCAGCAUGGUCCUUUUGGUAGCUCCCAAGGAUUUUCAGGAUCAUGGGGUGGACUCCCAGAGCCCUCUGGAGAACAUCAGCUGCAGACAAAAGCAUCUGGAAGUUCCUGCUGCCUUUUUACCCUGUUUUUUCCUGGGUCAUCUUGUGUCAUUUGGGAAGGAAGCCUCCCUGUCCUGAGGAUUAUAGCAAACCAGUUGCCAUCCUUACUGGAAUACAUCUUCUUGCAUUUUCUCAAGAUGGAGCCACCACUUUACCUGGCAGGAUGAUAUUUUAUUUCUUCUUCCAGAGCUCUUCCAGUGCUGCAGCACUCAUGUCCAGCAGGUCUCGUUUGACUGCAAAAAGGAGAGAGGAGGAGCGUAUGGAAGGGAGGUCAGAUGCUGCCAGGGUUUCCUGGAAAAUGAGGGCUGAUGGGAGGAUUCUAGACUGCUGAUGUGCUUGAGGGUCUCAGAAGGGCUGGAGAUUAUCUUGGAUGUGUUGACGUCUGUGCAUCACACAGACCUUGUUUCUGGUUGUAUGUGGGCUUCUCAGCAAGAGACUUUGCUCUUCUAGAUUGAGAGACCUCUGCUGCAAUUACGUGCUACUGAACCAGUUCUCCCCCGGUCUCCUUUUACAGUUGCUGGAGGGAAAUGGGUGUUUUUAUGAAGCGCCUGACCCUGACCUGCUGUAGGCACCUGCAUGUGUUGAAUCAUUCCCUACAAUGCCUGCUGCUCCUCACUGUCAGUGGAGCUGGGAUGGCUCAUUUGGAUGCAGGGUCUGCAAUGCCUGUCUGCACCCUCCAUAGGAGGACUGGAGUUCAGGGUUCUUACUGGUGGCUUGGGUUGUGCAAACCCACUGGAUGAAAGCUUGGGCCUCUCCUAAGCUGCCCUUACAUUUUCUUCAAGGUUUGGACACAGCCUAAAUCUGUGAGCCACUUGUCUGAGCCUGCUCUCAGCAUUUAUACACCCUGGCUGGCAGCAUAAGUACGUUCCUGAAGGACAGAGUAUCAUCAUCGAGACAAUUUCAGUCCAACUGGGUCAUCUCAUGCUGUGCUGUAGCAGUCCCAGUAGGGACCAGCAAGAUCACUCCAGCCCCAGGAGGUGCUGCACUGAGACUUGAUGAGGCUUCUGGCGCUGCCCACGAACCUCUUGGGAACCAGCCCUGGAACUGCUCCAUCCUCUGGAUUUUUGAGUAACGUGGCUUGUGGCUUCUCAACCGUGAAAAGGUUUGGAGUGAUUCUUGCCCUGCCUCUCUGGGAGCCUGACACCUGUAGCAGGAGCAUCCAUGUCCCAGUAACUCAGCUGUGGUAGAGCUGCUGGUGGGUGCGGUAAUGUGAGGAGCUGAGACCUGCUGUCAGGGCUCUGUUGAUGAGCAUCUCGAUGGAGAGCUUUUGUGCACUUCGCUGCAUCUCCUGUGGGGGGGAAAUUCCCUCCAGAUAUCUAUCUGCCUUUGCUGGGCUGCAUCCUCUGCUUCACCUUUUCACCACAAGCUUUUUUUGGGGGCGAGAACAGGAAUGUUGUUUUCUGCGUCUGUUUGCAGAGCGCUCAGCAUGUGCUGGCUCGUCCGUAUUGCGGUGUGGAUAAAUACUGAGUAGAAAAUACUAAAACUUAGGUAUACAAGCUGUUGUACCUAAGCAGCUGCAACUGUAGAAGAUAUUUUUAUACACUUCUGUUUUUGCUGGUGCCCUCCAAUAUGCUGUCAGAGGUGGAGCCCAUUGCCCUGUGUUAGGAAAGAGGGAUUGAUGUUGAAGAUGCAUCCUCAAGAUUGUCACCUUAAAUCAAGGAACAAAUAUAAUUUGCUGCAGUACAUCACUCUUGUUUAAUUUUCAUUGGGCAAACAGAAUGUGUGUGUGUGUCUUAUAUACAGAGUUUCUUCUGCAAUGUACUGUAAGCUUUUCUGUGUUACUAGUCUUUGGAGUGUUUUCACUGCAGCCCUGGAGAGAGGAAAUGCUCCCUUUUAUAGUGAGGGAAACACUGUCACAUGAAGUUGUGUGGUCACUGCCCUUUGCAUGAGCCCUAGUUGUGUCCCAGUGGAGGACACAUACAUCUUCUACCUUCCUUCUGUCUACUUUGGAGACCAGAAGAUGUUGCAGGGACUCAUGGUGCCCUUGUGUUCGAUGCUUCUGCUGCUGCCCUCUCUGCUCUUAGGUCGUGCCUUGAUUCUCUAUGCAGAGAACAGGGAUAAACUGAGUCUUUGGAGUUGUGGUGAUGAUCUUGUUAAGGACAAGCAGUGUAAUGGAGGAUCCUGUUGCUGUGUCUAAGCAGGGGUGGUGCUUUCUGCAGUAUCAGUGGUUGUCAGCGAAGAGCCUCAUUUCUACUUGGCUGCUGGCUGUCUGGCUUUUCUGCAAUAAAGUUCACUCCAGCUGGCUUCCUUUCUGCAUCCCUCCCUUUCUGGAAGGAUCUUUGUGCCAGGCUGACACCUCAGACAUCAGCGAGAGUGUUUGGUACUCAGAGAUGUGGAGCCACAGAGCCUGUGACCUGGCGCUGGGCUCUCUGCUCUCCUUGGGUUUGGUUUGCUGGGAUGCUUUGGGAUUCUGGGACGUGUUAAGCAGGAGAAUGUGUUCAUCUCCAUAUUGAUCAAGAUAAAAUGACCAGCCUGCCUGAAGCGAGGAGGGCUUUGCAAGUCUCAGUGAAACCAGCUAAAUAUUCAGAAAGAGUGUGAAUUGGGGGUGGGUGGAGAAGGUGUUUUAUUUGCGUCCCAGCAGCUAAAAGCAGGUGUUCAGUCAACUGGGAGUUGCCCUAAAGGCAGAGAAUAAGGAUGCAAAUGACCUGUGAAACAUAAAAGGAACCAUCUGAAUGCCCCUUUCUGCCACUAACAAAGUUUACCUCCACCCUGGGUAAUUUGCAUGACUCAAGUUGAUCAGCCCUGAGAAAAGGCGGACGGGUCCAACAUGAGGAGGUGACUUUGUCAAGCCUGAGGAUCUUGCAGGGAGGCAAAAACGGGGCAAAGCCCCGAGGCCAGGCCAGGAGAUAUGUUCGCUGAUGAAACAUGGAAAGGUGGGCUGGGUCGUAGGGUGAGCAGGGUACUGAGGCACGGGCAGCAUUUUUGGCAGUGAGUAUUGGCUAAGGGUGACCAGCUGGCACUUGUGAUAUCCCUGCAAUGAAGCUUCCUCUGGGUUUCGCUGUGGUUCAGCUAAAUCAGCGCUGAUCACUGAUACAGGAUGGUGUAUAACAGCUUAAAACCUUCUUUGAUCAAUGCCAUCUGAGGAGUGCUGGGUGAGCAGAGCUUGUUGAGCUGCUGCCCAUUAGACUGUUGCGAGUGUGACAUUAGACUGGUUAGUUUAAACCUGCCUGGAAGGGCUUUUAGGCUGUGCUUUGCCUCAUGUUUGAUGCGGUAGCAGUACAGGAAUCCAGCCAGUUGCUGCAGCUCAAGGGAUGACUGGUUAAGCGGUGGCAUCCCUUAGAUCACAACUGCUGUGGAUUUAGGACCCGUCUUGCCCAGCGUGGCGAUGCUGAGUGCACUGGGGAGCUGUCCCGAGCUGUUGCUCUUCGGGCCCUGCCCCAGUUCUGCUGGGAUUAAUUUUACACCCAGCCUGGGCUUAGCAUCCAGUGGGGGUUUUUGAUGAAGCCUUUUUUUUUUGCUGUGAUUUGGACCUGCACAUGUGUCCCAUCAGGCAUUGUCAGCUCAGCCAGGGUCACAGAUGGUCAGUCCACCCCAUCUCUCGCCUGUGUUAUCCUGCAGUGUGACAGGUCCCACUUCAGUUCAUUGAUAGUUUCACUAAUUUUCCUGAUUUUAAUGAGCGCUCCCACAGCCUCCCCUCCGCCAAAGCCGAGACACUGAUUAUUUCACCAUGAGCAUCUAAUGCUUAUCCGUUUCCUAGGCUGCUCCUCCCACUUUCUGAUUUCACUUAUUAUGUGCAGGAUGUGAUGAUAAAAAUCUGUUUGAGCUGUCUCCUCUUUCAGGGAUUUUUACUUCUUUAAAGCAGCUGUGUGGAGUGAUUAGUGUGUGCGUGGCUGCGGGGAUGGGGAGGGAGCCCCAUGCUCUCUGCAGGUUCCAUCCUCAUCAUGUUAGCACCCAGGCGUUUCAUCCAAGGUUUGGAGACGUUACAUCCUCCCAGAGCCAUUGAAAUAAAUCUGGAAAAAAUAAAUGGUGAUGUUGCUCAGGCCCGUCUUCCCUCAGCUCAUGGCAUUCUCCUCUUCCAAGAUUCAGUUGCUCCUCAUCAGCAGCUCCCAGCAUCAUCUGGGCCAGCCAGCGACUUGCCAUGGCCAGUGUUUACAUGUGUCCAUGCCUAGAGAGAGCUCGGCAUUGGUACAAACUUGUACAGUUGCCUUUCUGAAUCACAUUGUCUGUACGGCCAUGUGGGUCUUGUGUGUUCGUGGGGGGUGUGCAGUAGCAAACUGAAUAUAUUUAGUUGAAGCAGAUGUUUUCUGGCUUUUUUUUUCAGGUUUUGCAUCAAUGGGUUGUUCAGUUCUGCUGUUUCCUAUUUAAGUUAACGGCGUCUAUGGAUGGUUAAAUUACACGCAAGUAAAAAGCUUAUCUCAGAGGUGGUUUGUGUCAUCUCUGUUUUUCUUCAGUGUCUCCUCAACUCCCCACACCUUUGCCUUCCUCCCCAUGCACAGAGCUGCCCUGGCCUUGUUGUCUCCCUGGGGUGUGCACUGUGUUUCCUGGGCACCUUGGUGAUUUAACAAGGGGAGUUGAGGAAGACCAUCCAGACAUGGUCUGCAGUGGAGACCUGGGGGAGAGGCAGGGAAGUCCCAGGGGAGCAGCCUGGCCAUCAACAUCUCCUACAACAUAGCAGGACCCAAGGGAAAACCGCCGAUGUGGUGUCUGGGAGGGACCAGGUGAGGUCUCUGGUGCCACCAGUGUCAGGAGAAGGCACCCUCCAGGGGUGGAGAUGUCCCCAUCUCUCCAGGCUGACAACUUUCCACACUGUGCCACCUUGCUCAUAGGAAAGCUUUCCCCAGUGUUCUACACGAUCCUCCCAGGCCACAACUUGUGGAUGUGGCCCUUUGUUAUAUAGCCUGCGGUCUUGGCUGUGAUGGGGCGGGUGUUCAGGGGUUUGGAAGGAGGCAGGGAUAGGUCUCUGGGUCACUUGUAGACCACAAGUGAUGGCACAGGUGGGCAGCGGAUGCAUCUGCAGCAUGUCCUGGAGAGACAUCUCCUUUGAGAGAUGUUGUCCUUGUGUGGAUGUUUUUCCUUAAUAAAUUUGACCCCUUUGCAGAAAACCAUGUUCAUUUUCUGAAUUAGGAAGUUGUAUAUUGAAAACCAGUAUGGAGUAAAAGGGGCCAAGAAUGAUUAAUUAAACCUGGGGCGUAUUUUUCUAACCCCUAAGUGCUCUGGGGGUAAUGUAUAUUAAUGAUAGUCCUGAGUCAUAACUGCCUGCUGUAUUGCAACCUGCAGCCAGAUCACUAUUGGCUUGGAGAAGGUGGCACAAUGGCUGGAGCCAAGAAGCUUGACGGUCCACAUUGAUGGGGCUGGGGGGUGCAUGGUGCCAAUGCACCUUCAUGGAAUGGGCGACUAAAAAUAGGGCAGUGAAACACAUGAGCCAAACUGCUGAAUGGCUGCGUGUGUUAGGCUUGAAUUUUUUCUUUCUUUUGUUCAAGCUUGUUUGCCUGAAUUUGUCAAUGGGAUUCCCAAAACAAGAGUAUGUGAGAGAUCUUUAACAGCAGUAGAUGGAGCAAAGAGUCACUUUUGUGAGAGGGGUUUAUUGCUCCAAGCAGACAUGCUGGGAGCUGCUGACUUGGAAUGAGAUGGGUGGUGGUUUUCCAUCUUGUCAUUCCUUGUGGUCAUGGCAGAGAGCUGAUGAUCCUGCAGAUUGGCCGUGUGUGGUGACAUGCCAGCAAUACCUCUUUACUGGGUUGCAUCCUUCCAUGAGAAGGCAUCAGAGAUACAUUGUGAUGAGGAUUAACUCAGUAGGCCUUACCUUAUAGAUAAUGCUUUACAAAUUAUCUUUUCAUGGGAGUAUUUUCUAUGCGGGCAUAGUCUCAAAGAGCAGAAAAUUGAUGGUUCUGGCUGUUUUAUGUUACUCACUCUCAAAUGCAUUGGUAUUUUGGAUAAACAGCAGAAACUGGAACCUUUUGCCUGUGGGGAUGCCCCUAGUGUGGGCCAGGCUGCUGGACAGGUGAGCAGAACCGGGUGGGAAUGGGGCAGAAUGGGUGUUCCUCACAUCAGACCGCCGUGAAGUCACGUACCAUGUAGGUUAUCCGGGGAGAGAUGUUUGGGGGGAGGGGGGGAAGUUGGUUGUUGUGCCAAAUUGAAUUUUCAUAUUUCUGUAACAAUUAAGCUAAUAAAAUUUAAAAAUUUUGAUGCUUUGGGCAUUUAAUUUCUGUGUGUUUUCUGAGAGCACAAAUGAAGGCUUUUAAAGCAGUUUCAUUUCUGAGAGGUUGAAGAGCCCAAUCUUGAACGUGGAACAUCCCAGUACUAGCGUCAGCAUAUACUGGUGUGUGACCUUGGUCGGGUCACACAGCUGGACCGAGAGUGUCCGAAAGUGUGACUUGGCAGUCAGCGUGCUGGCCCUCUUGGAGAUGUAUUGGCAUGACUGUGCCAGUUGGAGCUCCUCUUUGGUGGACAUCACUGUUCCUGAAUGGUUGUGGGUAGCAGUCAGGUGAGAUUAGGUGAGAAGUCUAAAAAAACCCUGAUUUUUAACUUAAGCUCCACUUACAUUCAGUGGAAAGAGGGGGAAUAAAUGUUGCUUUGAAGCAGCCUGUUCCUCCAUGAACCAUGGAGAGUUUCCAGACACUUGGAUGCUUAAUUUAUAGACAGCUGAGAUUAGGGAAAGAGCAGUCCCACAUUUUAAUUUAUUGAUAUCUCUGUUGCUUGUAUGUAAAAUGAUGUAAUAUUAAGUCCUUGUUUCCCUGAAACAGAGGAUAAAUAUAAAAUUUGGAGCUGGUGCCUGGCUACAGCAGCCUUUGAAAUAACAGGCUUAUCUUGGCCAUGGGCAGUGUCUUUGACUGUUCCAGCAUACCAAGGGUUAACGAACAUCCUUGGUUUUCUCCCGAUGAACUGAUGGGUUAAAGCCUACAUUUAUACAGUCCUAAAAUUACCUUUGGCUUUUUGAAGGCAACUGCGAGGCUGAUGUGGCCCCCUGGUGAAAAUGAGUUUGGCACCCCUGGGUUAAAGCUUUGAAAGAGAUUUUACUGCUACAUGACCAUCACAAACCUUUUUAUUUAGGAUGGUCCUUUCAUGAAACUUCAAAUAGCACCUACGUCAGACUGAAAUCAAAAUCUUCAGGAGAGAUUAGGACAGUUUUGCUUGAAGUUUCUCUUGUGGUCACUCGCAGGGAAAAAAAGAAGAGGUAAGAUAUCCAAAGUCAGCAGCACCUCACUUGGAGCUGCCAGUAGAGCUUCUCUGGGGGAGACGGAUUGAGUUACCCCAUGCCUGUAAUUCAUCCCUCUUGGCCACACCCAAAUUAUCCAGCAAAAUGGAUGGGAAAUUUAGGAAAACUUUUUGCUGAGCUGGGCAGACGAUGCUCAGACCCGCAUUGAUGUCUUGGGCACAGAUUUCUCUUUAGAAAGGGAUUUUACCCAAGGUUUUGCCAUAAAAAUCCUGAUAUCCAUGAAGUGAGGGGCAGCAUGUGCCUCUUCAGAUGGACCGUGCUUGCCCUGCUCUUGGAGGUAGGUCUUAAUUUUUGGGUGCAGGGAUUCUGAUUAUGUUUUGCACUUAUUAUUGCUCGUUAUAAAUACCACCUUUAUCUGAAUUCGAUUAAUUAUUGUUAAAUAUUAUAGUGGGCUUUAUUACAGAUUAAUACUACUUUGUAUUUAUUAGUCUUACCUUUCUAGGGAAGUUGUUAAAUGCUUCCCAGCCCUGGGAUGCUUGUGUGCCCCCAUUGAUGCCCUUGAGCACGUUAUCCAAUUGUGAUGGAACUCCCCUAACCCAUUUUCAUUCAUUUUUAAGCCUCGUUUUGCACUGUAAAUUGAUAUUUUUUAUGAAGUCAUUGAGCUAACUACAGUAUUAUUCUAUUCUAAUUUAUAUGCAUUUGACAUUAUUUGCAUUUUUGCCUUAUCUGGGUUAAGUCUCACGGAUGGCAUCCUGGCAGUCCCUGCCGACACGGCUUUUUAUCUAGUUAUUGUUGGAUUAGCCUUCAAGAAAUGGAUUUUGAAAAGUUAUUUCUAAGGUUCUGCUGAUUUUUGCCAUGUCAGGGAUGCACAAUUUUAAGCAGAUUGCAUUUAGCAGCAGGCUGGCUUAAGCAGCACCCUCAGUAAAGCCAAGGAAAUAAUUUGCUGGAGCUCCUUAACUCAUGCAAUCCUUGUUUUUCAUGGGAUUUCUCCCAUGGAUCUUCUGGCUGAUUUUUCUCUCAUGAGAUCUCACUUGAUCAUCGUCUGUUGUGGUAUGUGCGGCUCCAAGCCAAGAAUAUCUACUAUUUUUGAAAUGUGAUCAUUACUGUUCAAAAUAGGCUUUUUUUCCAUGAUCUUACAAGAUUUCUCCGCUUCUCUAAUAAGCUAAUUUUAUCCCUGCUUUGGCAUCCAUACUCCUUGGUGUUAUUUUGGUGUAUCUUUAUAUAUAGCUCUGUGCAUGUACAUGUUACAAUAUGUGAUUUAUAUACAGCCUUGUCUUGCUGUCACAGGGAAAUCAUUCUCACUUUUGUGGUGGGAUCUUGGGUGGGAUGUGUCAGAACCAACCAGUCCAUUGCCAGACCUCUCUGUGACCCAUCCCAGUUCGCUUUCCUUCAUCCCCAAUUACCAUCGCUCCACCUGGGCGAGAGAAGACACAGACACGAACCAUUUCAUUUGGUUCAUUUCAUUCAUCCAGCACCAUUUCAUUUGCCUGUAAGUUAGGGGUCCAUGGGCUUUGCAGCUGCCAGGUGGGAGCCCCGAAACCUCCAAGUUGCAGUUACUCAUUGUGUGCAGAUAGGCAUGGGUCCACACACAUGGUCAAAGAAAAUAUGAGGAAAAUUGCUUUAAAAACAGGAAUAAAACUGCCUUGAAAGGGGAGGGGAGAUGUGCUGGACGGUGACCAUGGUGUCACGGGCAUGGAUGAAGGCUGGAGACAGCAGCUGCAGCAGAGGUCGAAUGCACGGUGGUGGUGGGUGGAGGAGAAGAUCAGUAGGAGGAGCUCUGCACUGGAUGGCAAACUUGAAAGGAAAAUUCUGAUUUCAAUAUGGAGAUCAUUAAUUGCUCAAGCUGGUUCCCCUGUUGUUUCUUACACACCUGUCUUUGCUAAUUUGCUUGCUUUGCUUUCCUAGUGUGCCCGUUAGGGUCAUGUACACAGACUUAGUAGCUGGGUAAAAGGACUCCCAACAAUGCCAGUGUGCUUUUGGGGGAGAAAAGGAGCCAAAGUUAACCAUGGGGUCAUGUCAUAAAGGAGAACUGGAGCCUCGUGGUCAACUCUGACCUGAAGGAACCCUUGGAGCAAGAUGCCCACUUAAUGCACCCAUCUUUUAGUCCUGCUUGAAGAGGAUGUUCUCAUUGUGUGGACAUUCAUGGCCUUUUUAUGAUAGCAUCUCUUUAAGGCCUCCGUGUGGUCGUGAUGGUGCCUUCCAGGGAGCUGGAGACCUGAUCUGUUGUGACUUUGUCCUUUUUACAUAUUUGCCUCAUUGUAAAUCACAGUCCAUCUGAAUUGUGAUGGGCAAGUAAAGUCUUCCAAGAAGAUCUGGACUUUCUAGAUUGUUGGCCUGGAAACAGGUGCAUAAAAAUGUGUGUGGUGUGGAGAGAAUUGUUUGUUCCUUUGAGACAGAUGGGUUUUUGCUGGGAGGAGGAUAUGAGGCUGAAAUUGUUAGAGGUAAAUGUGCCAUGUACCUUGACUGCCAGUUUUAAAGUUGACAACUGGGACAGGUAUUACACCAGAACAGAGUAUCACCACCUCUGACAAGGGUCUUGGUGGGUCUGGUGUACAGGGAAGGCUGUAAACUAGAUUUCAGCUGAAUUGUGCAUCAGGUUGCUGAGCUGAAGGAAGAGGCAGCUCUUGGUCUAAGGAGCACCGUAGCUUGCCAAUGUGACUCUGAUAGGCGCUGGUGGUCCUCCAUCCUCUGCUGGGGUUGUUACUGGUGGUUGGAUCAAAAAUACCAGUUUUGUGCAAAAAAGGAGACCUUACAGUUUGAUAGAGGCCCUGAAGGUGUUGAAACAUUGAGCCUGAGUUUUCUCCCUAAAUUUCACCUUCCGUCAGCAAAAGUGCUGAAGGUGGAAGGGUUUUGGCAGUGUGAAGUUACUGAAGGAGGAAAAACACUCAGCAUGAUUAGCUUAAUGUUCAUUCAAACCAUAGAGAGUUUAGGAUUGGGUCAGUGAGCGUAUUGGCAUGAGCAAGUCUCCCGAAAUCAGUGUGGGUCAUAUCAGCCAAAGGGGAAUUUUCCCAGGUUGGAUCUUAGAUUCUUCAGGGGAGGAAAGUUGAAUGUCAUUGUAGCUGCCUCUGCAGGAAGCCUCUGGCUGACACUGUGGCAACAACACUCAGAAUUAUGUAUUAUUCCCUUCACAGACGAAGCUAGAACAAGAAAAAUGUCUUGUGUCAACCUGGCCUUUGAAAUACAAAUGAGUAAGACCAGCCUCACUUGUAAAUGUCACGGUUUGCUUUGUGUGCUCGCUGUGUCAUGCGGUUGCUUUUCUUUCCUGGUUAAUGCGUUUCCAGGCUUUUGCUUCAAGUGAUGCUUGGACAAAAGGGAAAGGAGAAGAGACUCUCCGUGCUGCGUGUGGAGUCCCACGGGGCUGUUUCCCCACUGCGGAGCUGCGCUGACCCUGGGUCAACUUGAAACACGGGCUCUGUGCUCCUGUGAAAGCCCAGCUGAUGGUGGAAGCACCAGCAGCCUCAUUUUCUUACACUGGCAAAUUUGGGGGAAUGGAGUGCAAAGGCACACUGCGCGGUUCUUUGGCUUGACAGCCUUGGCUUUUUUGUAUGGUCUAAGUCUUUCUUAGGGUCUUCCUGUGUCCAACUGUCAGGUGGUGUGUGCUUACUUGCUGAAACCCAUUCUUCCUGUUGUAAAGAUGAGUUAUCACAAAAUCACAGAGUGUCUGGAGUUGAAAGGGACCUCUGGAGAUCAUCCAGUCCAACCCACCUGCAGGUUCACCCAGAGCAGAUCACACAGGAAUGUGUCCAGGUGGGUUUGAAUGUCUCCAGAGGAGACUCCACAACCUCUCUGGGCAGCCUGUUCCAGGCUCUGGAACCCUCAAGGUGAAGAAGUUUCUCCUCAUAUUCAGAUUGAAACUCCUUUGUUUCAGUCUGCACCCACUGCCCCUCAUCCCAUCAUUCGGCAGCACUGAGAAGAGUCUGGUCCCAUCCUCUUGACAACCACCCUUGAGAUAUUUAUAAACAUAAACAAGAUCCCCAUCCUGUACUGGACCACCAGUGAGGGGCCAUACCCGGCUAUCUGGGCAAACUUGCUGGAAGCCAAAGUGCCGUGCUUGCUGCAUCACAUUUGGGGUCAGCUCUUUCCUGCCUUUUGCAUGAUGCAGUGUUGGGGUUUGCACUAAUACAAUGCAGAUUCCUCAUGGAUUUUUUCCCCUCAAAAUUGAAUCAUGAGGCACAUACAGAACCAAGACUGGAAUAUGAGAUGUUGCUUCUGCAGAGAAGCUGGUUAUGGUAACUAAUUGUGUUGUUUUGGGUUAUGCCACGAUGGGCUGGCUGGUUUUGAUGAUGUUUCUGUUCUGUCUGUGAUUAACCUGAUGGCGACAGUAAAACAAAAUAACAUUAAAAGUGCAUAAAAACCUCAGAAUGAUAUUUUGGAUGCCAGAGGAUGCUCAUCCGCAGAAUGUAAUUGUUUUAAACUAAUUUGAUGAUUAGUUCAAGCCAGCUUUACAGACUCCUGUGUGAGCAAUGGGCAUUUCUGUGGAGUUAAUCAGAAAGAACUGGAGUUUCUUUUACCAUGAGCAAAAAUAGCUCUCGGGGAGGACAAUAUGUAACAGCAACGACUGGAUCUGUCGACUUAGCCAGAAAUACGCAGCCAGUUUUAAAAGAAAAAAAAAAGAACAAUCAUCUGGAAAUAUCUCACAUGCCUCUGAAUCUCUGCUGAAAAUUGCUCUGGAGCUUUACUUGCAGCUGGUGAAUAAAGUUGUUGAGAGGAGCAGUGCGAGUGCAGCAGUGCAGGAGAUGCUCUCAGGGUUCAGGUGGACCGGAGGAACGCUCAUCCUCCUCAUCUCAUCUCCUGUGCCCAUCUGCAAGGGUUGGGUUGCUCAGCAUCCUGAGCUGGGCUUAACCCCACACCUUUUUGCUUCAGUCUGAGAGAAGAAGAAAGAAACCUGUUGGCAAAAAGUAGAGUCCUGGACCAGUUUUUUGGCUGGUGAGUUUUGCCAGACCAGAGCUGUUUUCUGGGGGUGGCAGAGCCUAGAGAGGGCUCAUCCGUCCCAGCUUGGGUGCUGCAAGGUUGCAGUUCAGGUGCAUGUGACCAGUGCUGGAUGGUGGGUAAAUGAAAUGACCCAGAGGUGCUUGGGUGCUCCAGUGAAGGGCUUCCCAGGGUAUCCCAUCAAACCUGCAACAUCUGAGGUCUGGAGAUGAACUGUGCUUUCCCCAAAUCUAUGCCCACCUGGCAGCAGGUGAGGGCUGGGAGCUGGGGUUUGGCAGGAUACUGGGGUGCUGUAUGGUGUGGAGGGGGCAGCUCUCAUAUGUGUCCCCUCUGGCUGGUUAAUAUGCUAGCUUACGCUGAUUUUUUUUUUCCUUCCUUCUGUUUUCAGCAUUUUAGUUAAAAGCAUAAACAGCCUGGCGUUGUGUAACAGGCUGCCGGGGCUGUUGCUCAUCCCCACGAUGCUCAACCGCGGAGGAUACACGCAGGAGAUGAUGCUCCAGCCCUGUUCCUGGGUCCCUCCCCGUGCAUGACUGUGGUUCAAAAACAUGUAGUGGGAUUCUUCCCAGACUGAAACGGGCUUUGCCUUCCCCAGAUGAGCUCAGCCUUUUUUACAACACUCUGCUUACACGAGUUGAUGUCUUUCCAGGAGCCUGGAGUCAGGAUAGAGACCCACAGCCGGAGCAUCCUCUGGAGUUCCGCAGCUGAAGCACUGAGCCUCCUGCCCCCUGGGCAGUGGACAGUUUGCCCAUAAACUGCUGGCAUUUAGUGUGGUAAAACAGGGGGUUUUAAAGAUGUUUAGCAAUGGCAGGGCCUGUUUGCUCAGUUGCAUUGAUAAAAUAAACAGUGUCGUCAUUUGCAGGAAGGUGCCGAAAUAUUCCCUGUAGCCACUUGGAAAUAGCUGGUGCGAUUGGUGAAGAUUUACUGUCCUGUUUCCUUUCCUUGCUUUCUGUUUCCUUUCCAUCUCUGUUGAUAAUUCUGCUAUGUGUUUCUUUAACUUUUUAUUCACUUAAAAACUUCCAAGGCGUGCUGUUAACUUCAUUGAGUUUAAAUGCUUUUGUUUUUGCUUGUUGAAUGGUGCAUGCCGCUUCGAUCGUUGCUGUUGAGAUCUCAGGUUUCCCCGUGUCUUCCUUCAGGCUGCUUUUCAUUUCAAAUAUAUAUUUGUUGAAGAAAAAGGGAGAUUUCCACGAAAAUGCCCAUUGCAUCUCUGACGCUUUGAAACACGACUCCUGUCAAGCAUCUGUCCUGUUUUACCAUAGCAGUUAAAAGCUGAAAAAAGGAGCAGGAAUCCCAGUUUCAGCUAAGGAGCAAUUAAUCCCUGUUUCAACACCCACUGUUCCCCAGUGCUCCAGAUUGUAAACCACCAGCAGCAGCGACGGUCUUGUCUCGUUCCUCCUCCGUGUGAAACUGCUUUCGGGCAGCAGAACCGGGUCCUGUGCUGUUUUCUGCUCCUGUGCCUUUCUCUGGUGCUGGUUUCACGACGAUUACAACCUGUUGCUGGCACCACGGGGUGAGGCAGCAGCAUCAGCAGCAUGGCUUUGAUCCAGAUCAGCUCUGGGCACUCAAUUGCCGCUCUGUGGGAUCGGGUUGAACUAUCCAUGUGAAGGUUACAUUGACUUGCUGUGUCUGGGCUGGCUUCACGCCGGCUGCGGGAGGACAGAUGGUACUGGAUGAUGCCUGACGUGGCUUUACCCGGCACCGUUUGUGAGCAGACCUGGAUGGACCGAGCAUCACCACGUCGUGCCACCUCAUGGAGGUCUUGCUGUGGCAGCAGGGGUUGCAUGAACUGUGCCAGCGUCCUGCUGAACUGCAGCCUCAGGUCUUGUGUCAGCAACAGGUGACAUUAUGAUGCACAAAUUGCACAGUAUUUUUUUUUAGAGUGGCUGAAUGGAUUUCACUGUGUCAUUUACUGAGGUAUUUUCAUCCCAGCUCAGAUUGUUAAUCCGAUGAAUCCUGGCUGCACACUGCCUGGUUCACCCUCGUGGUCAGUUUAUCUGCCUUCCCUGUCUCUAGAACAUCCCCGCUCUGCAGUGAGGCUUCUUCAUACCCUUCCCAUUUAUCCCUGUGUUUUAAUUCUUGCUGUUCUUACACCUUUUGUAGGUUCUGCCAUCCUCAACUCUUAUUAUUUGGAAACUUACUUGCUUUUUUUUUUUUUCCUUACUGAUUGUUUUUCUGCAAUUCUCUUGUUCUGUGGUGUUUCCUUCUGUGUUUGAAGCAUCCCCUGCUUCAGUGAAGCCAAAGUAUAAAGGACCACCAAAACCUGCCUAAGUGAAUGAGAGAUCUGGCAACCUUUUCCACCAGAAAUCUUCCAGUGUCUGCUGUGUUUCGUGGUCCAUGAGACAAAGAUCUUCAGGGAGCAGUAGCUGCGUGUGGGACACAGUGGGGACGUGCUGGGCCACGAGGUCCUGUGUGCUGCAGGUUGGUGUAUCCAGCUUUGCUUUUAGUGCAGUGCUGGUGCUUUCCCACUGGUGACUCGCCCUCCCUCUGCUGCCCAGGACCACCAGUGUCCUGUGGGCAGGAGUCUCUCUUGUUGGGCCCCUGCCGUUUGCCUCCAGCCCCCCUGUCCUUCCCGUUAAUUUUUGCUCCGUGCCUGCACUGCUGCGACACAGAGCUGUGUGCUGGCCCCUGCCCUGACUCAGCCCUGCUCAAACAUCCCUGCUCCCUCACCCGGGCUGAGAAAUUCUGGUUGCUCGUUUGGGGCCAUUUCCGAUGCCUGGUUAAAUCUUUCCAACAAACACCUAACUUCUGACUUGGUUCUUGCAUUCCUACACCCCAACAUGGAGUGUGGUCUUCUUGAACCAUAUAAUCAUAGAACAGUUUGGGUUGGAAGGGACCUUCAAAGCUCAUCCAGUCCAACCCCCUGCCAUGAGCAGGGACAUCUUCACCCAGAUCAGGUUGCUCGGAGCCCCGUCCAGCCUGGCCUGGGAUGUCUCCAGGGAUGGGGCAUCUACCACCUCUCUGGGCAACCUGGGCCAGUGUUUCACCACCCUCAUUGUAAAAAAUUUCUUCCUCAUGUCUAGCCUGAAUCUCCCCUCUUUUAGUUUAAAACCAUUACCCCUUGUCCUAUCAUAGCAGGCUCUGCUAUAAAGUCUGUUCCCAUCUUUCUUAUCAGCCCUUUUUACGUACUGAAAGGCCACAUUAAGGUCUAUCCAGCCUUCUCUUCUCCGGGCUAAUCACUGGUACUAUCUGUGCCAUACGGCUGCAGCCACCCCGUUGUCCCUUUGAGUCUGACCAUGCAUGGGACAUGUGGUCCAACUUGACUGGGAAUGGGAUGCUUGGCACCACUUUGCCAGCUUUACAGGCAAUGGCUGACCUGGAAUAAAGCCUGGUCCUAGAGAGUAGUCUUUGUGUGCAAAUGCACGUUACUGGUGACCUUAAUGAAAUUAUAUAUAUUAAAACCAAUAAAAUGGGAUCAUCUGUUGGAGAAGGUGGCUCACGGAGCUGUGUCGUGGCUGUGCUACUCACGGGCAGCAGCACUGGUGCGGUGGGACGAAGUGUGGCCCGGAGGGCAGCAUGUAAUUCAGACUGACGGAGCGGCGGCAGAGCCACACCUCAAAUCUGUCGGAGCUCUUUCUGGCAAACCACUUCAAAAAGGGCGUUUUGGUGUGGUUUAAUGAGUAGAAGAGAGAGGCCAGCAUGGGGCACGCACAGGUUGCAAGGCAGGAGUUACCGGCUGCAGGGAUCUGCAGGAGUGGUCAGAGCUUCAUGCUCCCGUACCCAGUACCAUGACGUGAAGGGCACCAGGGGCAAGAGCAACUUCCCUGUCUGCUCUCUUGCUUUUCUUUCCCACUAGAGUGUUUUGUGCAAUUUUCAAAGCAUCAUGUGCAUGUUCUUUUUCUCUUCUCUUGAACUAAGUAGUUGUUUUCUCCUUUUUCUUAGCUGUUUUCUUCAUGCAGAGGUAGGAAAUGGCAAAAUAUUUUUUCGGAGAUAAAAUAAAUGUGUUUGUCUUGUCAGGGAAUCUGGCAAUAGUUGGUACCUGAGGAUAAUUUUUGCUGUGUGUUUAAAGCAGCUUCAAGUUCUUAAGAAAAAUCAAAGGCAUUUCCCUUAGGAUGAUCUGCUUGAAGUGUCCUGCCAACCAGGCUGAGAAACCUCAAGCAAAACCAACAGAACCCAGCACCGUUCUCUGCAGCUGCCAAAUUUGCAUCUGAUUUGGGGUUUUAAUUAUAGGCAGUUUCCAAAAAAAAAAUGAAACGAGCCUUUUGUAUAUUAUUAUCUUCUCUUCCUCUUCUUCCUCAUGUGCCUCUCCCUUCUGCUACUCAUUGGCCACAUGAUGGGCUGUUCUGGGAGGUGCUGGGCUGCCACUGUUCCUGCCACCAAAGGGGUCGGUACCACCGACUUCUCCAGCCCUUGUGCUGUUAGAAAGUGAGCUUGUGUCCAUGCUUGGUGGGCUUUCUGCUGGUCAGUGAGACUGCAUCAGCUUCUGGAGAGGUUUGGUGAGCACCAGGGCCAGCCGUGGCUCUGGGGAGACUGGGAAAGGGUACCGUUUUUUGACAACAAUGAGGUGUUAAACUCUCACCACAUCGUGGAGCUGAACAGUGGCUUUCAGCCCAGUCCACCUCACCCUUUGAGGUUGCAUCCACGUGAUUUAUAAGAUGGAAAAGUUUUGUGGUGUUUUCUUUUUCUCUCCAAAAAGGUCAAAUGCUUCAAGCAUCUUGAAAGCGCCGAGGUGUAGAAGGUCAUUGAUUUUUUCCCUUUAAACUAUCUUGAAACUAACCCAAGGUAUAAUUUUAUUUCAACAGAAUGGGAAAGUCUAGUACACCAUCAGCUCCUUUUAUUUCAGUAUAUGGUUGUCUUGUCACCCAUGUACAUCUAGAAAUACUCUUUCUUCUAGUGUUUACUGAGGCAUUCAAGCUGAACAGGAUUGAGCCUGAUGACUGCUUGGAUGGUUCAUCAGACACUUGCAGGUGCCAUCUGUACACAAGGGUGUUGGCGAUGCAGCAAAUGGCUGUUUUCCAACCUCUAAGGGACACAUGUUAUUGGGGGUGCCUUCUGAUGACCACUCAGGAUCUUAAAAGCUUUCUUUGUACAUUCACAUGUAUCUUUGUACUGGCUAAAUUUCAACUCACUUUCCUCCCUGUGAACAAUUUACUUUUUGUGGAAUAAACUGUUCCUCAGAAACCAUA